rnacentral:rRNA from 2 species
AGGCAGCAGUAGGGAAUCUUCCGCAAUGGACGAAAGUCUGACGGAGCAACGCCGCGUGAGUGAUGAAGGUUUUCGGAUCGUAAAGCUCUGUUGUUAGGGAAGAACAAGUGCGAGAGUAACUGCUCGCACCUUGACGGUACCUAACCAGAAAGCCACGGCUAACUACGUGCCAGCAGCCGCGGUAAUACGUAGGUGGCAAGCGUUGUCCGGAAUUAUUGGGCGUAAAGGGCUCGCAGGCGGUUUCUUAAGUCUGAUGUGAAAGCCCCCGGCUCAACCGGGGAGGGUCAUUGGAAACUGGGAAACUUGAGUGCAGAAGAGGAGAGUGGAAUUCCACGUGUAGCGGUGAAAUGCGUAGGGAUGUGGAGGAACACCAGUGGCGAAGGCGACUCUCUGGUCUGUAACUGACGCUGAGGAGCGAAAGCGUGGGGAGCGAACAGGAUUAGAUACCCUGGUAGUCCACGCCGUAAACGAUGAGUGCUAAGUGUUAGGGGGUUUCCGCCCCUUAGUGCUGCAGCUAACGCAUUAAGCACUCCGCCUGGGGAGUACGGUCGCAAGACUGAAACUCAAAGGAAUUGACGGGGGCCCGCACAAGCGGUGGAGCAUGUGGUUUAAUUCGAAGCAACGCGAAGAACCUUACCAGGUCUUGACAUCCUCUGACAACCCUAGAGAUAGGGCUUUCCCUUCGGGGACAGAGUGACAGGUGGUGCAUGGUUGUCGUCAGCUCGUGUCGUGAGAUGUUGGGUUAAGUCCCGCAACGAGCGCAACCCUUGAUCUUAGUUGCCAGCAUUCAGUUGGGCACUCUAAGGUGACUGCCGGUGACAAACCGGAGGAAGGUGGGGAUGACGUCAAAUCAUCAUGCCCCUUAUGACCUGGGCUACACACGUGCUACAAUGGACAGAACAAAGGGCUGCAAGACCGCAAGGUUUAGCCAAUCCCAUAAAUCUGUUCUCAGUUCGGAUCGCAGUCUGCAACUCGACUGCGUGAAGCUGGAAUCGCUAGUAAUCGCGGAUCAGCAUGCCGCGGUGAAUACGUUCCCGGGCCUUGUACACACCGCCCGUCACACCACGAGAGUUUGCAACACCCGAAGUCGGUGAGGUAACCUUUAUGGAGCCAGCCGCCGAAGGUGGGGCAGAUGAUUGGGGUGAAGUCGUAACAAGGUAACCAAUCACUAGUG